rnacentral:rRNA from 1 species
GACAGAGGUCCCGAGCGUUAGGCGGAAUCACUGGGCUUAAAGCGUGUGUAGGCGGCGGCCUAAGUACCUUGUGAAAUCCCACGGCUCACCCGUGGAACUGCUCGGUAUACUGGGUCGCUUGAGCCACUUAGGGGCUACCGGAACAAAUGGUGGAGCGGUGAAAUGCGUAGAUAUCAUUUGGAACGUCAAUGGUGAAAACAGGUAGCUGGGAGUGUGCUGACGCUGAGACACGAAAGCCAGGGGAGCAAACGGG